CUGAUGUCGUAAGGGAAAAUAAUGAUAAUACCUUACUAUGAGUGUCGUCCAAAUCUGGUGCCAGAAGACUCGGUAAGACCAGAGACGCGAACGUUAAUCAUCAUAAUCAGGCGUAAAGGGUUUGUAGGCAGCAUUCACCAUACUAUAAAUAAUAAAAUAAAGUAGUUUAAUUGAUUGCUAGAAUCAAAAAGAGGUUAUAGUGUAUAACGCCUAGAGGAGGGCUGAUAUCCAUAGAUCCUAGGCAGAAUACUAAGGGCGAAGGCCACUUUCCACUAAUGAUUGACGCUGAGAAACGAAGGUUAGGGUAGGAAAUAGGAUUAGAUACCCCGGUACUCCUUUCUGUAAACGAUGAAUGGUAGUCAUUAGUUAAAAAACUAGAGACGAAGUUAACACAAUAACCAUUCCGCCUUGUGAGUACUACU
rnacentral:rRNA from 2 species